GAGCGGGCGUAGCAAUACGUCAGCGGCAGACGGGUGAGUAACGCGUGGGAACGUACCUUUUGGUUCGGAACAACCCCAGGGAAACUUGGGCUAAUACCGGAUAAGCCCUUACGGGGAAAGAUUUAUCGCCGAAAGAUCGGCCCGCGUCUGAUUAGCUAGUUGGUGAGGUAAUGGCUCACCAAGGCGACGAUCAGUAGCUGGUCUGAGAGGAUGAUCAGCCACAUUGGGACUGAGACACGGCCCAAACUCCUACGGGAGGCAGCAGUGGGGAAUAUUGGACAAUGGGCGCAAGCCUGAUCCAGCCAUGCCGCGUGAGUGAUGAAGGCCCUAGGGUUGUAAAGCUCUUUUGUGCGGGAAGAUAAUGACGGUACCGCAAGAAUAAGCCCCGGCUAACUUCGUG
rnacentral:rRNA from 1 species